rnacentral:rRNA from 1 species
CCUACGGGAGGCAGCAGUGGGGGAUAUUGGACAAUGGGGGGAACCCUGAUCCAGCGACGCCGCGUGAGUGAAGAAGUAUCUCGGUAUGUAAAGCUCUAUCAGCAGGGAAGAAGAAAUGACGGUACCUGAGUAAGAAGCCCUGGCUAACUACGUGCCAGCAGCCGCGGCAAUACGUAGGGGGCAAGCGUUAUCCGGAAUUACUGGGUGUAAAGGGAGCGUAGACGGUGAUGUAAGUCUGGAGUGAAAGGCGGGGGCCCAACCCCCGGACUGCUCUGGAAACUAUGUGACUGGAGUGCAGGAGAGGUGAGCAGAAUUCCUAGUGUAGCGGUGAAAUGCGUAGAUAUUAGGAAGAACACCGGUGGCGAAGGCAGCUCACUGGACUGUAACUGACGUUGAGGCUCGAAAGCGUGGGGAGCAAACAGGAUUAGAUACCCUUGUAGUC